AAAUACUUGUUGCUCGCCAAACCACUACGAGUGAAAACUUAAAACUUAAAAGACUUGACGGUACUUCAAACUCAACCUAGAGGAGCCUGUCUAAUCAACCGAUAACCCACGUUUAACCCAACCCGCUUUAGCCAACCAGUCUAUAUACCGCCGUCGCCAGCCCACCUUGUGAAAGAACCACAGUGCGCCUAAUAGUCUAACACUAAUACGACAGGUCGAGGUGUAACUUAUAAGCGGGGACAGAUGGGCUACAUUUUCUCUACCAGAACAAACGAACGGGGGCAUGAAACCACCCCCUAAAGGUGGAUUUAGUAGUAAGCCGCAGCACACAUUUCUCAGCUGAAACUAACGCAAUGAGGUGCGUACACACCGCCCGUCAUCC
rnacentral:rRNA from 1 species